rnacentral:rRNA from 1 species
GACAGAGGGGGCAAGCGUUGCUCGGAAUCACUGGGCGUAAAGGGCGCGUAGGCGGGAUGGCAAGUCGGUCGUGAAAUCCUUCGGCUCAACCGAAGAACGUCGGCCGAUACUGCCGUUCUUGAGGGAUGCAGAGGAGAUUGGAAUUCCCGGUGUAGCGGUGAAAUGUGUAGAGAUCGGGAGGAACACCGGUGGCGAAGGCAGCCCCCUGGGCUGAGAUUGACGCUCAGGCACGAAAGCGUGGGGAGCAAACAGGG